rnacentral:lncRNA from 1 species
GAAAUGUUAAAAAAAUAAAAACACUGAUAGACAUCCAAAACUACAAAAGUCAUCUUAUAAACAACUAAUCAAGUCUUUAGUUUGACCUGACGAGGUUUGAACCCACUAUGUUCUGAUAUUAUCCUCUUAUAGUUGAUGUGUUUCACUCGGUUUUAAUUUUUAACCAGAUUUGUUUUUGCUUCUUUGAUUUAUGACUAUUGAACAGCUGUAUACUACUGUUGCCUUUAACUCACACACUCGAGGUGAGAUGAUACCACAAGACAACUGAGGCAGGUACAAUAAACAUGCUUUGUACAUGAAAACAUAUAUUUUACAAGUUUUGAAACACAGAACGAAAAAAGAUAUAAAUAAAAUUGAGAAUGGAAAUGGGGAAUGUGUCAAAGAGACAACAACCCGAUCAUAGAAAAAAACAACAGCAGAAGGUCACCAACAGGUCUUCAUUUUUGCUAGUAAAAGCAAUAAUUUGACUAUCAUUUGACCAUUAUCAUAUGUACAUUUAGCUAUAGCUAGCAUUAAUUCUUUGCUUCCUUCUCAUUCAAACAGAUAAAAGGUUCUUUUACAAGUGACUUGCAUGGAGAAGACAGUAAUGAGAACUCAAAACUGAUCAAUCCAGAGAAAAAAAUAUCAUCCAAUUCCAAAAGGAAAGGACAAAAACCAAAAGUGAUGUUUAAGGAUAAAGAUAAUGACAAGUA